CGCGCACAAGUUCAGGUCUGGUGAGCGAGAAAAGGCAAAACGAAUGUGUACGAACGGCAAACAGUCAGUCGACGGUCUGACUGGCGGCAUUGGCAUACCGCGGCGGACUUGCUGCACGCUUUUCAACACCCGGUAAGCAGAACAGCGAGGAGGAGGGGAGCAAGUAAACAAGGAGAGUAAAAAUACUAGCAUUCACAUUCAGCGCAAUCGAAAGCCUGCCUUGCAAGUUAAAACAACUAGUUGAGAUUCAAGUACGGACUGAUGUAACGGAAAGUAGGAGAAUGUUUCACAUGGCAGGGAAAGAGAGAGACUUAUAUGAGUCCUGUAGUAACUAAUUAAUUACACAAGUAACGGGGAAUAUGCUAUUGAUUAAAUAACUUCAUUCUAAAACAUGUUCCAGGCGUUAAAAGUGAUUAAAUUUAUCUCUCGUAUGAAUAUUUAUACUGAAAAAUAAUUAAAUUCGAAGAAAUAAAAAGGAAAUAAAUUGUUUAUCUUA